rnacentral:miRNA from 1 species
UUUAUGACGUCGAAUAUCGACGUCAUAAACACCAAACUUGAUGGUAUUUAUGACGUCGAUAUUCGACGUCAUAAA